rnacentral:rRNA from 1 species
UGCAGUCGAACGGCAGCGCGGGGCAACCUGGCGGCGAGUGGCGAACGGGUGAGUAAUAUAUCGGAGCGUGCCCUGGAGUGGGGGAUAACGCAGCGAAAGUUGCGCUAAUACCGCAUACGAUCUAAGGAUGAAAGCGGGGGAUUCGCAAGAACCUCGUGCUCCUGGAGCGGCCGAUAUCUGAUUAGCUAGUUGGUGGGGUAAAGGCCUACCAAGGCAUCGAUCAGUAGCUGGUCUGAGAGGACGACCAGCCACACUGGAACUGAGACACGGUCCAGACUCCUACGGGAGGCAGCAGUGGGGAAUUUUGGACAAUGGGCGAAAGCCUGAUCCAGCAAUGCCGCGUGAGUGAAGAAGGCCUUCGGGUUGUAAAGCUCUUUUGUCAGGGAAGAAACGGUGUGGGCUAAUAUACUGCACUAAUGACGGUACCUGAAGAAUAAGCACCGGCUAACUACGUGCCAGCAGCCGCGGUAAUACGUAGGGUGCAAGCGUUAAUCGGAAUUACUGGGCGUAAAGCGUGCGCAGGCGGUUUUGUAAGUCUGUCGUGAAAUCCCCGGGCUCAACCUGGGAAUUGCGAUGGAGACUGCAAGGCUAGAAUCUGGCAGAGGGGGGUAGAAUUCCACGUGUAGCAGUGAAAUGCGUAGAGAUGUGGAGGAACACCGAUGGCGAAGGCAGCCCCCUGGGUCAAGAUUGACGCUCAUGCACGAAAGCG